rnacentral:ribozyme from 1 species
GAAAGAGAAGCAAAAAAAGCAGAAAAACUUGCUAAAAAGAAGUAGACGCGAUGCUGUGUUACUUGCUUUUUUAUCUUGCCUUGUUCUCUCUCACACUUUUAAUAAUUUCUUCCCCUAUUUUGUUUGGUUUU